GUGAACGCUGGCGGUAGGCCUAACACCUGCAAGUCGAACGGCAGCACAGUAAGAGCUUGCUCUUACGGGUGGCGAGUGGCGGACGGGUGAGGAAUACAUCGGAAUCUACUUUUUCGUGGGGGAUAACGUAGGGAAACUUACGCUAAUACCGCAUACGACCUACGGGUGAAAGCAGGGGAUCUUCGGACCUUGCGCGAUUGAAUGAGCCGAUGUCGGAUUAGCUAGUUGGCGGGGUAAAGGCCCACCAAGGCGACGAACCGUAGCUGGUCUGAGAGGAUGAUCGGCCACACUGGAACUGAGACACGGUCCAGACUCCUACGGGAGGCAGCAGUGGGGAAUAUUGGGCAAUGGGCGCAAGCCUGAUCCAGCCAUACCGCGUGGGUGAAGAAGGCCUUCGGGUUGUAAAGCCCUUUUGUUGGGAAAGAAAAGCAGCAGGUUAAUACCCCGCUGUUCUGACGGUACCCAAAGAAUAAGCACCGGCUAACUUCGUG
rnacentral:rRNA from 1 species